rnacentral:rRNA from 1 species
GAGAAUCAAGGGAGGGGCACAACUACGCAGAGAGCUUCUGAGCGCACCCAAGAGACGGAGGCGGCGGGUGGCGAGUUGGCGGCUACGUGGUGGCGAGUUGGCGGCAUCGAGGAAUAUUUACCGAGGGCGGAGCGUUCGAGCGAGGUUACGGGUACGGGUAGUGCGUCGCGGGUGUGCGCGAUCAUCCAGGCCUGCUCCACUACGACCACCAAACGCUCCGUGGGAGCCGCGCCGAACCAAGUGUCGCCUGGCGCUUCGUCUCGACACGCCGCUACCGCUGCUGGUCGUGUCCCGUGCGCACUGUGGCGCUGUUGUUGGUGCACCGGUACCUCCCCGAGUGCGUCGCGCGCCGCCACGCGCCGAUCCGCCUGGAGCGCGACGCCGCCGCCGUCCACGCACGAUCGGUACCGGUACUCUCCCCUAAACGCCGCACUGACGCCGUACUCCGUCGCCCCUAGAGGGUUGGAGAGGAUGGGGGGGAGGACUACACCCUUUGGUACCUAAUGGCCAAAAAACGACUUAGAAAUCAGCACAUCUUUGCCGCAGUGCCGACCCUGCGCUGCCACGCCGGUGGCCGCGGGACGUAGGAGGUGUCCACAGCGUACGAAUACGGGGACGGGGGAAGGAAGCCGGCAGGUCUGGCGGAGGCAGAGUCGGCCACCUACAGGUAUACGGCUUAUUGCUCACGCCGCCGCUAGUGCCAGACGGGGCGAGGCGGUCAGGAGGCAGUGAAGAAGGCGACCGAAUGAUGAUGAGUACGUCCACCUCAAGUUGUACCUUCUCGAACGGUACCGGGUUCGUAGUAAGACCCGCAUCGACGGGUGGAGGUACACUGCUAACGAGGUUGCGUCUGGUUCACAAGCAGCAUUACAGUCUCGCCGGUGUCACUACUCCUAUGUAGUCAAGCACUACUCGAAGCUACAGACACAUCACGGCCUUCUACCGCUGGUCAUCGCCCGCGAGCGCGUGACGAAGACCCUACUGUGUUGGUUCUGAUUAUUCCUACUUCUAGUACAAGUAUAAAGGUUACCCAAGCAAGGUCACCAUACCUGCGCCGCUCCGUUAAAUAAUUCAAACGUCCUCGUCGGCGACGCAUGAUAGGGUGUGAGAGACAGCUGUCUGGUGGAAGAAGGUGCGGCUGCGGCCAGCGGCCCCAUGCCAGGGUAGGUAGCGGUACGUUCUCGCGAGAUUAGGGGAUCUGUCAUGACGAGUGUCGUCAACGUCCGCGCCUGCGUAACGGGAGUCGGCACCUACGGCGACAGGGCAUGGUUCCUACACGUCCGUACAAAAUCUAAUACUAACACGUUUCCUUAUACAAUCUUUUACUGCCAGACGUUACCACAUGGGUUUAUGACUUGUAGAAGACUAAAAUGACCUUCUAACUACACCUGUAACUACAAUAACGUGACCGUCGACUAAAAAAAGGGAAGUGUAAAAACUUCUGACCUAAAAGUCGUCGUGACGUGAUAAUUAAUCGAAAGACGUACACUGAACACUAACGUCGACUACUUCGGUAGUUGGUAACCUCCGUGCCCUAACAGCUCGGGUUCCAAGCAGUGGGAACAAAAGAUUUCCCUUCGAUUUCAACCCCAACGGUUAGAGGCUCCUAAAAGAGUUGCCAACUUUUCAAACUAGUGACUCCUUACCCCUAAUGUCAGUGUCUAGUAAGCCAAUAAAGAGAACGACCACGGAGGCGACUUUCACUACGUAGAUAUAUGUUGGUAUAUAUAUUCAAACGGACAAGUUAGUCUUCUAACAUAAUCGAUAAUUCAGUAUCAAGUUGGAAGCUUAUAUGUCAAAACCGAGUCAUCAAACUCGGAGGCAACGCGUUGACCUAGUACCAUCUGUAGGUCUGGACGUCGACACAAAAUAAAACAAUAGGAAAAAUCUUUGACUGUGCGACGGAAACAACGGAUUUAGGCACGAAAUUAAUUUACUAUUUAAAUGAUAUUUCUAAAAAAGAAACUGAGAAUAUACUUUUUUAACAUGCUUGUACACUAGCGAUAGGUCUAAUCAGUCCAGUAGGACGUUUAUUGACACCCUAUGUAAUGACUGUGAAUGAGUUAGUAACAUCACUUUAUUAUGUUCUACCACUUGUGGAGCCUACGUCGAGUUUCUAGUUUAUAGUACUAUAUCUCAACAGAAGUUCGGUAUCUUCGUGGUAACUCGGGACCUCGACACCGCUGUCGCGGCAUGGUCGGUGGCAGCAGGAGAAGGUACGGGACCGGUAGGUCCUCCUCACGGUGCCGAUAGCGUCAAGAGGGGUACCGUAGGGCCUACCGUAGGAGGCCCUACAACUAGCACAGGAACGUGGCCGCCGUCGGCCUCGGACCAUGCAGGUCUCUCCGUACCGGAACCUAACCUCGUAACGUCCGUAGCUAGGUGAAGCACCAUCGGUACCCCAUCCCACCGCAUCUCGAGUCGGCGCACUCGACGUCAAGUGGUCAAGUAAGGAGUGGACAUUCGGAUCGUUCUUCCUUUUACCAAACACGAUAUAUAUGCUGACUUGACCUGUUAACGUAUCUUACAUCUAUAAACGUGUAGACUAAAGAAAACACAUCAGACCCAUGAGAAGGGGUACCACAAUUUUUAUAUAUACAAACACUCCAACAUACUGAUUGCACUAAAACAUUGUGUGAUUCAAUUGGGUUUGACCGAACUUAAACAACCAAUAAACCGGAACGGACUUGUACCAACCACU